rnacentral:rRNA from 1 species
AGCAGCUGCGGUAAUUCCAGCUCCAAUAGCGUAUAUUAAAGUUGUUGCAGUUAAAAAGCUCGUAGUUGAAUUUCGGGGUCAGUAGGUUGGUCAUGCCUCCGGUAUGUACUGGUCUCACUGAUUCCUCCUUCCUGAUGAGCCGUAAUGCCAUUAAUUUGGUGUCGUGGGGAAUCAGGACUGUUACUUUGAAAAAAUUAGAGUGUUUAAAGCAGGCUCACGCUUGAAUACAUUAGCAUGGAAUAAUGAAAUAGGACGUUUGAUUCUAUUUUGUUGGUUUCUAGGAUCGACGUAAUGAUUAAUAGGGAUAGUUGGGGGCAUUAGUAUUCAAUUGUCAGAGGUGAAAUUCUUGGAUUUAUUGAAGACUAACUACUGCGAAAGCAUUUGCCAAGGAUGUUUUCAUUAAUCAAGAACGAAAGUUAGGGGAUCGAAGACGAUCAGAUACCGUCGUAG